rnacentral:rRNA from 1 species
UACGGAGGGGGCUAGCGUUGUUCGGAAUUACUGGGCGUAAAGCGCACGUAGGCGGCUUUGCAAGUCAGAGGUGAAAGCCCGGGGCUCAACCCCGGAAUUGCCUUUGAGACUGCAUCGCUAGAAUUGUGGAGAGGUAAGUGGAAUUCCGAGUGUAGAGGUGAAAUGCGUAGAUAUCAGGAGGAACACCGGUGGUGUAGACGGCUCUCUGGACCGUAACUGACGCUGAGGCACGAAAGCGUGGGUAGCAAACAGG